CGCCUCAUCUUAGGGGAGUAAUCUUCUUUGCUAUUUGCAAAGAUUCUUUGUCAACAUAAUUGAGCCUCAUGCUCAUGGCAAAGAAGUCCUGACGCCAUUCGCAGGAU
rnacentral:sRNA from 2 species